rnacentral:lncRNA from 1 species
AGAGUCCCAGAAUAACUGAGCAGUAGAAUCCAGAAAACCCAUGUUGGGAGCUGCUCCCCCCAAGUCCUUCUCAGGGGGCCUCUCAUCCCUCUCGGUCACUUCUCCAUGGGCCUCUCUCCCAGCUAUGCUCUCACUCGUAGCCACAGCUUGUAACCAGUCCUCUCCAAGCUCAGGCCCAAGUCUCUCAGGUUGUAUCUGUGACAUGCAGCAGAUAGUGACAGGACAGGGAAUAGAGCAGCCAGGGCUAAAGGGGACAGCUUGAUGGGGAGAUCUAUGGGUAUCUCCUAUAAAGUGACCUCUUGGCCCCAGAACAAAGUGCUUCUCUAAAACACCAUGGAUCAUGGCUUGUGGGAGACUACAUGACACAUGCCGGAGAUUCUUUUCAAGCCACAAUAACUUUGGAUCCGUGGCAGCAAGUCUGUCUACUGGGCCCAGACAGCACCCUCCAGGCUAUGGUUGUGAGGGAAGGAGAUCUCGGGCUUUGCUCGGUUAGGAGCACUGCCUACCAAGAUACCUCUCCAAACACAGAAAGCUCAAGGGAACAGCUGCCCUGCAGCAAGGGUGGAGGUGACACCAUUGCCCUGCAGGUAACAAGGCUGAAACUCAAGGAGUUAAGUCACUUGCCCUCAGUGCUCACUUAGCUGGGCACUCAGCCCACCUGGCUCUGAGCGUGCACCCUGACCCAGCUGGAGAUGGUUGCAGGGUGAGAGCAAGUCUCUCAUGACUUUCAGGCUCCUCUGGGCCGUGAGCUGCCUGGCAGGGAGCCAGGAGCGGCUGGUUUCCCUCUGGCCCUGUCCACACUCUAGAAGCACUCAGCUCAAGCUGAUAGGCGUGCAGGUGUCGCGAGAUGGCUCUGACACAGACAGGAGCCCUCUGUGGGGCCCAAUGUAGAUGUCUGCCAAUCCAGAGCCCCCACCAUGGGGAAGGCGCCUCAUGCACACUUAGAAACACUGGCUCCUAUAUAGCAAGUGGCCUCAGAGCCCUGGCCCCCAGCUGUCAACGCCAGCAAUCUCUCUUAGGAGCUAAGCCCUCACACUUUCUAGGGCUACAAGGAGCCAGGUUUCCAGCAAUGCUAUAACGUGAUUUGAGCCCAGGGCCUUGUCCUCUGGCCAGUGGCUUCAUAGUUCAGAUUCCCAUGACCAUGGUAGGAUUGGUACCCAAGAGCUCUAGACCUUCCAGCUGAGCCUCACAGGGAACAUGACACCUUCCCAGUUCAGCACCAGGCCUCCAAGUCCUUCUGGCUUGCAAGGAGUUAGAAUUGUGGCACAUUCUGGUGACCUCUAGCCUAAUAAUCUAGAUGAUCACUCCCAUGAUGAAACAGUUAAUUUCUCAUUACAGGUAAAGGAGCAGGUGGGGUCAAAAUAUGGGCUGGGUGAAAAAAAAAGUGGAUGUUUGAAUAAUGGAACCGAACCUGGAAAUCUGAUCCUAAUAGUUAUUGGGGGUGUCUACAGUUUCCACACCUGGGAAGCCUCAUACAGUGCAAUUUUCUUGUCUUAGCUAUCUUUUUUUUUUUUUUUUUUUUUGGUCACUGCAACAAAAUACCAAGCCAAAAAAAAAAAAUGUAAAGAAGAAAGGUUGAUUUCAGUUCACACUCUCAGAGUACCUUCCACCUUGGUGAGGAAGCUAUGGCGACAGGAACUUGAGACAACUGGUCACAUUGUACCUGUAGUUAAGGACAUGGAGGGAGAAAGCCUCAGUCUUUUAAUGUGUCAUUCUUGGAGUGAGGAGAGCCUGAGCUGGGACCCAUUUUCUGGAUCCAAACCACAAAGCUUCUCCAGCACAAGUAUGCUUUAAACCUGCUACCUAAUCCUUCGUGGAAAGGAAGCAACAGCCAUCUAUCUCCCUGGUGUGGAACAAGGGUCAGACAGCUGAGCCUCUGCUAUGCCUACAGCUGCGAGAGCAUCUGCACACAGAUGGGCUGGGAGAAAGACUGGGGCCCUUUAGAUGGGAAAGUGAUACAGAUCAUAGAAGGGCCAAGAGGGCCUCAAAGCUUCUGGGUGAGAAGGUGAGGGGUAACCUUACCAGAACUAAGGA